rnacentral:rRNA from 1 species
GAUGAACGCUGGCGGCGUGCCUAAUACAUGCAAGUCGAGCGAAUGGAUUAAGAGCUUGCUCUUAUGAAGUUAGCGGCGGACGGGUGAGUAACACGUGGGUAACCUGCCCAUAAGACUGGGAUAACUCCGGGAAACCGGGGCUAAUACCGGAUAACAUUUUGAACCGCAUGGUUCGAAAUUGGAAGGCGGCUUCGGCUGUCACUUAUGGAUGGACCCGCGUCGCAUUAGCUAGUUGGUGAGGUAACGGCUCACCAAGGCAACGAUGCGUAGCCGACGUGAGAGGGUGAUCGGCCACACUGGGACUGAGACACGGCCCAGACUCCUACGGGAGGCAGCAGUAGGGAAUCUUCCGCAAUGGACGAAAGUCUGACGGAGCAACGCCGCGUGAGUGAUGAAGGCUUUCGGGUCGUAAAACUCUGUUGUUAGGGAAGAACAAGUGCUAGUUGAAUAAGCUGGCACCUUGACGGUACCUAACCAGAAAGCCACGGCUAACUACGUGCCAGCCGCCGCGGUAA